GAGGCUAGUCUGUGGAGCCGGGUUAGCUCUCCUCCAGUUGGUGUCUGACCAGUUGGACCCUUAUAGCGCAACCGGUGUGGGAGUCCGGGUCAUCCAAAAAAAUGGCAUUGUCCAUGGAUGGUGGUGCAUGGUGGCCGGAUAUAGCAUGUGGUUGUGCCGGGGUUACUUUUAACUUGAAGCUUGAAUGUGUAGGUUCCAACAGCAAAGAGGAGGCUAGAGUCUGCAAAACUGCAUCUAAUGUAGUAACAGCCACAUCCCACAGAAACGAUCAUGGAUCUCAGCAUCUCGCGAUGAGGGCAUAAAAUUCUGGGAAAAUCACCUGUAGGUACAAACAUCCUCGAACCAGACUUCGACUUUUUGGUGGCAAG
rnacentral:lncRNA from 1 species